AUGCUACUCCUUCCGUCCAAUAAAAGAUGUCUCAAGUUUGUUAAAAUUUAGAUCUAUCUAGACAUGACUUAGUGUAUAGAUGCAUUCAAAUUUAAUAAAAUUGAGACAUCUUUUGUUCGACGGAGGAAGUUAUCA
rnacentral:pre_miRNA from 1 species